UGAGACCUUGAUCCCAAAUUGCUUAGGCUAAGCUCAGAAAGCCUGUUUUCAAAGCAAAGACUGCUCUCUGUAUCAAUACCUGAAAAGUAUUGGAUGUGUGGCUGGCAUACUGAAGUAAUAGAACACUGGUAAAAAUCUUCAUUUACCCUUUACAUACAUGAAAGACAGGACAGUAUCAGAAGCAGAGACAAAAAAAGAGACCCAGAUAAUUAGAUGGAACUCAUCUCAGAACUUGAAAGCCAGUGAAAUAACCAAGAUGCUGUGAAAAAAUAUCUGCCGUAAUUAAAAUGGCUGAUUGGUGAGAGCUGCAGUGAAGGCCAGUGUAUGGGGCCAUGCUAAAAACAUUGCUGGAAGGAGCCAGAUCUACAUACCUGGGGAAACCCAAAGCCAGAGGAAAUUACAGGAGAAUUUUAAAUCACAGGCUUGCAGGAUGAAUGCUUAGCCUCAAUGGCACACAGCAAACUAGCACAACACCAGAGCAGAUCUGAAGCUCCCCUUCCACAGCCCUGGGCACCAGUAGACUAAAAUUGACAUUAUUUGCUCAAGUCUCAUCUUGGAAGGUUGUCCAGAACAGCCAUCAUGGCAGGUCUGAGACACUGUGGCAGCCCGAAGCCCCUCAAGCAGACUUGGGGAUGGAGUGGCUGAAUUUGCUGAGGUGGCAAAGAGGUCUGGGAGAUCUGUCAGCACAGUUGCAGAAGUCGCUUGGAGCAGCAUCAUAGCACUUUCUGACUGUUCCUCAGCCACAGUGAAGUGGGAUGCUCUGUAUUUUUAAUCCAUGUCUAUGUUAAAUAUUUGCUUGAACCACCUGAGGAAGUGGCCUGUACUGAGCAGGGUUACCUUUUGCUGAGAUUGGUGCUGUCACACAGGGCAUUGUGGUGAUUCAGCAGUGUUGCUUCAGAGACAGAGCAGAGUUGCACCAGGGAGCAAAAGCCUUAACCCUGCUCAAGUCAGAUGUGGGAAAGUGCAACUGCCUGUGCUCAGCAGCAUGGUGAGGGGAGGGCAGAAUGAAGGAUGCCACACUGAGAAGGAUGAGAAGUGGGAGAACCACAGAGAAGGGAGAAGACCUGGGAAGCAGAUGCUGAUGUGAAUAAGGAGGUAUAGUGAGCAUCCCUAUGUUUCAGGCUAGAUCUAGAACAGCCAGAAAAACUGAUUGAAUUUUUGUGGUUGCAACCAAAGUAAAAACCUGUAACUGCUGAGUAAAUUGGAGGAUGACUGAUCAGAGAACUGAAAAGAAAAACUAAUUUUACAAAACAUUGAGAACUAUCAUGCUUCCUAAUAAUUCCUUCAGAGAGAUAGCUAGCUAACUUUGGACAACAUAAAUGUUUUCUGGUGGUUUUACAUUAUUCUAAAUUCUGCUUCUCAAUACUUACCAUUUUUGGUUUUUUUAUUCCCACUAACCAUAAAGCAUAUGCUGUCUUAUAUCCUGGUUGCAUGAGAUUAACAGAUAACCUUAUUUUUCACAGUCAGUUUUCAGCAUUUCUGCCACUGAAGAUCCUCUUCUACAGCUUCAAGUCGAAAAAACCUUUGUGGCAGAUUUGGUAUUGCCUGUAAUAAUUUAUGAAUGUGAUGUGUUGACAUGUUUAUUGUGUGCAUACAUUGAGCUACUUCAAUAGCUGGAUUGUCAAGAUGUGUACCCAGGAGAGAGAAGAUGGAUCCAGGCAUACAUUUUUGAGGAAGCACUUGGGAAACAAAGCAAGUGCUCCUCACUGUGAUGUUUUGGCUGGGCCCCUGUUAGGCUCACUGGAGAGAUUUCCCUGGGAGAAAUGUGGGCGCCUGCAAAAAAAGACAUGAAAGACCCCAGAGAAUUGACAGAGGACCAUUUAAACAGAUGUUUUUGUGAGCAAGAUUCUAAAAGGGGUAGAAAGUGCUCAGAUCUGUAGAUGUUUAAUUUAGUAGAUGCUGGCAAGGCUACAAGAAAAAGUGCAUGUGAAAUAUUUUUUAACCAACAUGCUUUAUUUCAUUGGUUAAGUGGCUCUUCUGUUUUAAAAAUGUUUCAGUCAUGCGGGAAGGCUGAAGGUCUCCUAUGUAUGUGUGUGCUUGGAAAAUGUAUGGGGUAUGUAGGCUGGAGCUUGUGUUUGAUAUAGUAUGUGGGAAUCAGAUUAUCCCAUGCAUGGAAAGGUAAAAGCUUAAGGCCUACUAUAAGCAGAAGGCAAGCCAGAAAGAUCACUGGCAACCAGAGACAUAACAGUAACCAUCGGAAGAACAUCACCUUUCUUAUAAGUCCUUACAUAUAGUUCUACUAAUGACUUUUAUUAAACAUUUAAGCCUUAGCAUUCAAGAGAUUCGUAUUUGUUACAAAAAAGCUGUCCCAUUAACACAAAGAACAAGCUGGAACAAAGCUAAUGAGCCUUAAUACUUGCAGGAUAAUUCAAAGUUUAAAGGUGGUAUUAACAAAAAUAAAAUAAGAAAGAGUGGAAAACUACAGUUUCAUUGUUCACUGGAGAACCUGAGUUUUUUUCUUUUGGAUCAUAAAAUUAAAUCUAUUGCUCAACUCUUACACUGUUA